GAUGAAGAACGUAGCGAAAUGCGAUAAGUAAUGUGAAUUGCAGAAUUCAGUGUAUCAUCGAAUCUUUGAACGCACAUUGCGCCCCUUGGUAUUCCGAGGGGCAUGCCUGUUCGAGCGUCAUUAUAACCCCUCAAGCUCGGCUUGGUGUUGGGGCCUGCCGCACGGGCAGCCCUUAAAAUCAGUGGCGGUGCCAUCUGGCUCUAAGCGUAGUAAUUCUUCUCGCUAUAGAGUCCCGGUGGAUGCUUGCCAUUAACCCCCAAUUUCAAUGGUUGACCUCGGAUCAGGUAGGGAUACCCGCUGAACUUAAGCAUAUCAAUAAGCGGAGGA
rnacentral:misc_RNA from 1 species